rnacentral:rRNA from 1 species
AUUGAACGCUGGCGGCAUGCCUUACACAUGCAAGUCGAACGGUAACAGGUCUUCGGAUGCUGACGAGUGGCGAACGGGUGAGUAAUACAUCGGAACGUGCCUAGUAGUGGGGGAUAACUACUCGAAGGAGUGGCUAAUACCGCAUGAGAUCUACGGAUGAAAGCAGGGGAUCGCAAGACCUUGUGCUACUAGAGCGGCCGAUGGCAGAUUAGGUAGUUGGUGGGAUAAAAGCUUACCAAGCCGACGAUCUGUAGCUGGUCUGAGAGGACGAUUAGCCACACUCGGACUGAGACACGGCACAGACUCCUACGGGAGGCAGCAGUGGGGAAUUUUGGACAAUGGGCGCAAGCCUGAUCCAGCAAUGCCGCGUGCAGGAUGAAGGCCUUCGGGUUGUAAACUGCUUUUGUACGGAACGAAAAGCCCUGGGUUAAUACCCUCGGGUCAUGACGGUACCGUAAGAAUAAGCACCGGCUAACUACGUGCCAGCCGCCGCGGUAACAC